UACGUAGGGGGCGAGCGUUGUCCGGAUUUAUUGGGCGUAAAACGCUUGUAGGCGGCCACGCCAAGUCGGAUGUGAAAUCUCCCGGCUUAACUGGGAGGGGUCAUCCGAUACUGGCGGGCUCGAGGCAGGUAGGGGGAAGCGGAAUUCCCGGUGUAGUGGUGGAAUGCGUAGAUAUCGGGAUGAACACCAGUGGCGAAGGCGGCUUCCUGGACCUGUUCUGACGCUGAGGAGCGAAAGCGUGGGGAGCGAUCCGG
rnacentral:rRNA from 1 species